UAACCCCUUCACUUCCGUACCGGUCAAAUUGACCGGUGGCGCGUUAAAACACGACUUCGCGAAAAUAAGAUCUCCGUAUCUAUUUAAUGGUAGCAUGAAGGUAUAUAAACUAUAUAUCGUCUUUUCGGAAAUUUUCUCUACUUUUAAAAUAUCUAAAAAGAUUAUGUCUUGAUUGCCGGUAUUUAAUCGAUUUUACGUUGUAAAGACAAACGUGACUUUUUGAAAAUGGCGUAAUUUUCCAAAGCGAUUGCCGAUUUUCCAGACGAUUGACAAUUUUUUCCUAUUUAACUUUAUGAAGAAAGCAUGGUAUAUUCUUAAAGCAUAUUUUCUCUACUUUUAAAAUAUGUAAAAACUAUUGUUAUUACUUUAAGGUAUAUUUUAAAAACAAGAAUUUUCUUGCACUUAUGUGUUUUUUCUCGGUUUUAUUCGUAAUGUUUAAACAAAGCUCAGUUUUAUGUUUAUUUCUGUGUUGAAAUAGGGAAAACAAAAUAAAGCUGGUAAAAGUGGAGAAAAUUUCCUUUCCAACAAGCCCUUACAGGCCUUCUUACGCUCAGUAUUUUUUUAAUUACGAUAAUUUGAAUUUGUGACCUUCGCAUAGUUUUUAUGGAAAAAUCGGUCAAUAUUUACCAUGUAACGUCAAGGUCGAUAUUGUUGCGUCUUACUCGAAACAACAAAUUCUUUUAUAAGACUUUUUUGACCAUUUAAAUAUAUAUUUUUUACUGAAAUAAAUGCAUAAUACAAAAAUACAUUUAAAAAAACAAAUAUUUACUAUCGUUCUGCCUUUUGUGUGAAAUGAAAUGUCAAUUUAUUCAUGAUUUAUAAUGAUGAAAAUUUCAUGUAGUGAUGUACAAUGUUGAGAAAAAUUGUAGAUUCCCUAAACGUCGAUCUUUACUAAAAAAAAAUCAGAUUUUAAUGUAGUUGUAUCUUGUUAUAUUGUAUACUUAAUUUGCAAAUUAAUUAGAUCUAUAUUAGCACGAAAUUUAACAAAACAAGAAUUCGCAUUUAUAAAUAAAUACGACUCAUCACUGUAUGAGUUGAUACGAAUUGAAAUAACCACGUGUUUCCGCUAUGGUAGCAGUAAACAAACAACAUGAUGGUGAUCCGAAAUCUGAACGUCAAUUUUCAUGAUUAUUUCACGACGAAGAUCAUCACAUCAAUGAAUCAAAUAAUACGGACAUCCUUUGGUAUUAGCAGGGUGCUGGCAACAUAUGCAACAAUACUUUCAUCUGUGAAUACCCACUUGCUAAGCCCACCAUGAUCUACGAAUGCCAAUUAAUAUGUAAGGACACCAAUGAACAGACACUUUCCAAUUAUCGUACAUCAUAUAUAUGGGUGGUCAAACUCUCUGGAUGGUUUAUCAACACUCCCAUGCUCACGAACAGCCUGAAUUUGCCCUGAAGUAACAUUGCAGUCUAUUGUCUCCCUUCUUUUUACAACCCUGGCAGCCAUGCAGGAUAGAAGCUGAUCACUUGAACUUGAAAGCAAAUUAUAAUGUCUUGGACAAGUCAAAGAAUUUCCUCCAGUCUUACAGAGAAGUAACAGUUGAUAAGAGAAUGGUGGACACAAAGUAAAAGUGCUCUUCAACAUUUUGUUGAAGAUUUCAGUCUGAUUUGGAAUUCAUCUUGCAAUAUAUCUGGAUUUGUAUAUUUGGAUAUAAGCAUCAAAUUUUCAACUUAUUGACUAAACAGUUUUGGGCUAAAUAUUGCCAAUGCUAUUUAUUAUUAUCAUUUCCCUCCAAGAUAACAUGUCAAGUCUUUAUUGAACCCCUUAAGCUCUGUUAUACCAGAAAAAUCUUGAAAUGAAAUCAUUUAGUUUUUUUUCUUGUUAGAUUAAAUCCAUGAAAAUAAAGAUUAUUUUUAAUGGCAUCAAGAGAAUGGAUUUCUUGUUUAACAAAAAGAUUGUAUACAUGUUUUGCUAGGGGUUUGUAAGAAGCAGACCAGAAUUCUUUGCUUGCCAUUUUUAUUACGUCAACUAUUAGAUGAUUUCUCCAUGUAUGAAGCAUUUCUAAAUUGAUAUUUACUUACAGUUUAAAGCAGAAUUCUGUACUGAUAUGACCUUGACCCCCUGAAGAACAAGAGUGUCAAGGUCAAUUUUUUUAAUACAAAAAUGUUCUUUCAUCUUUAUGGCCCAUAUAUAUCUUACAAACAAUAUCAUGAAAUAUACAAAAAGUGUCUAGAAUGUGUCCAGAAUGUGAAAUAACAAACAUGUAUAUAGCCAAAACCUUUAAAAUGUUGUUGCUUAGCAACCACUAAAAGGUCAUUAAACAGAUAUUUGAACUAAAAUGAUGCAUGGAUAUUGCAGUUCUGAUCCCUUCUUGAGAGUAUAUUCAGAAUUUUCCAUUUCAGCAUCCAUUGUGUAAAAUUAUGGCAAGAAUAUCGAAAUGUGUUGAAAAAAGUUGAUGAAACUUUUGCACUUAAUUGACCUUUGACCUCCUAGAAAUAGUUCUAAUGAGGUCAAACUUUAACACAAUUUAUCUACUGUAUGUCCCUUGUAAUUUUAUGACCUCACAUCUAACUUUAAUAUGUGCAUGGAUGCAUAAAUGUAUCUAGAUUGAGUAAAAAAUGAAAAUUUCUGCCCGAAAAUUAAAGAAUUCUGCGUUGCUUAGCAACCCCUUUUAAGUAGUUAUAUGCAGAAUUGAAAAAAAAGUUUAUGUGUUUCGUGUACUACAGUAUAAUGCUCUUUUGUGGGUAUAUCCCAAAUUUCCUAUUUCAACAUACAUAAUACUUAAUAUUUAGCUUGAAGAUUAAAAAGUAUCAAAAAAUUCCAUAAAAUGUUGCACUUAAUUGACCUUUGACCUCAAUUUUUACUAAUAAGGUCAGUGGUUGAGCAUCUAAAUAGUCAUAAAAUAUCAUCUCUAUGUAAUCCCCUUCAAAAUGGUAUGCAUUAUGCCUAGCUUUCACCUAGGAUAAAAAAGUUAGAAAUAAUUUAGUAAUGACAUGUCAAAAGGCCUCCAAAAACACGUAAAAUGCGCCGGAAGAGAAAGGGU